GAUGAACGCUGGCGGCGUGCCUAAUACAUGCAAGUAGAACGCUGAAGGAGGAGCUUGCUCUUCUGGAUGAGUUGCGAACGGGUGAGUAACGCGUAGGUAACCUGCCUGGUAGCGGGGGAUAACUAUUGGAAACGAUAGCUAAUACCGCAUGACAACAGUUAUUGCAUGAUAACUGUUUAAAAGGGGCAACUGCUCCACUACCAGAUGGACCUGCGUUGUAUUAGCUAGUUGGUGAGGUAACGGCUCACCAAGGCGACGAUACAUAGCCGACCUGAGAGGGUGAUCGGCCACACUGGGACUGAGACACGGCCCAGACUCCUACGGGAGGCAGCAGUAGGGAAUCGUCGGCAAUGGACGGAAGUCUGACCGAGCAACGCCGCGGGAGUGAAGAAGGUUGUCGGAUCGUAAAGCUCUGUUGUAAGAGAAGAACGAGUGUGAGAGUGGAAAGUUCACACUGUGACGGUAUCUUACCAGAAAGGGACGGCUAACUACGUG
rnacentral:rRNA from 1 species